rnacentral:rRNA from 1 species
AGGACGAACGCUGGCGGCGUGCUUAACACAUGCAAGUCGAGCGGUAAGGCCUUUCGGGGUACACGAGCGGCGAACGGGUGAGUAACACGUGGGUGAUCUGCCCUGCACUCUGGGAUAAGCCUGGGAAACUGGGUCUAAUACCGGAUAUGACCUGCUCUCGCAGUGGGGGGUGGGUGGAAAGAUUUAUCGGUGCAGGAUGGGCCCGCGGCCUAUCAGCUUGUUGGUGGGGUAAUGGCCUACCAAGGCGACGACGGGUAGCCGACCUGAGAGGGUGACCGGCCACACUGGGACUGAGACACGGCCCAGACU